rnacentral:misc_RNA from 1 species
AACACUGUUAACCUGCGGUACCUGCGGAAGGAUCAUUACCGAGUGCGGGUCCGCGUGGCCCAACCUCCCACCCGUGCCUAUUGUACCCUGUUGCUUCGGCGGGCCCGCCAGCCUUCGGGCUGGCCGCCGGGGGGCGUCUCGCCCCCGGGCCCGUGCCCGCCGGAGACCCCAACAUGAACCCUGUUCUGAAAGCUUGGUGUCUGAGUGUGAUUGUUUGCAAUCAGUUAAAACUUUUAGCAA